rnacentral:rRNA from 1 species
UGACCUCGGAUCAGGUAGGAAUACCCGCUGAACUUAAGCAUAUCAAUAAGCGGAGGAAAAGAAACCAACAGGGAUUGCCUCAGUAACGGCGAGUGAAGCGGCAACAGCUCAAAUUUGAAAUCUGGCCCCCAGGCCCGAGUUGUAAUUUGUAGAGGAUGCUUCUGGCGACGCGCCUUCCGAGUUCCCUGGAACGGGACGCCAAAGAGGGUGAGAGCCCCGUCCGGUCGUGCGCCUAGCCUCUGUGAAGCUCCUUCGACGAGUCGAGUAGUUUGGGAAUGCUGCUCUAAAUGGGAGGUAUACGUCUUCUAAAGCUAAAUACCGGCCAGAGACCGAUAGCGCACAAGUAGAGUGAUCGAAAGAUGAAAAGCACUUUGAAAAGAGGGUUAAAUAGUACGUGAAAUUGCUGAAAGGGAAGCGCUUAUGACCAGACUUGGGCUUGGUGAAUCAUCCGGCGUUCUCGCCGGUGCACUUUGCCGGUCCAGGCCAGCAUCAGUUUGCUUCGGGGGAUAAAGGCUUCGGGAAUGUAGCUCCCUCGGGAGUGUUAUAGACCGUUGCGUAAUACCCUGGGGCGGACUGAGGUACGCGUUCUGCAAGGAUGCUGGCGUAAUGGUCAUCAGUGACCCGUCUU